CUGGACUGGGGAAUCUGUGUCGUUCAUUUGUCAUCCGGGAUAUCGCUUAAUUGGACCAACAACUAGAGUGUGCCUGCCUUCUGGUAACUGGAGUGGUAUACAACCUACAUGUCGAAGAAUCUGCCCACCUCUCGAAAGCCUGGAACUUGGUUUUAUUUAUGGUCAGCAAUUUUGGGAAGGGAAGAGAGUUUCAUUCAGUUGUAAGCCUGGUUACUGGCUGAAAGGGCCCUCUGAACGUCACUGCUUGAGGAAUGGUUCGUGGUCAGGGAAUCAGCCCUCGUGCAAUCUACUGGGAUCAUGGAUGGAAAUACAGUCAGAUAUUAUCCAAAGCAAUCACUUCUUCAUCAGUCAUCUCAGCCGAUUUUUAGAUCCUGUGCCUGGUUCACACAUUUGGAAACUGUGUUACCGCGCCUCCUCUCACGGCUGGGCUGCAAGUACAUUCCACAGUCGCUGUGAUGGCAAGCCCCACACUGUUACUAUAAUUAGAAAAAAACAUUACGUGUUUGGAGGAUACACCGACAUUGCCUGGGGUAUGUAUACAAUAUAUAAAGUGUCUCAUCUGUUUAAUUGCUCUGCUAAGAAAAUGGCAAAAAACGAAAAACUCGUUUCCCUUUCCUUCAACGUCUCUGAAGGUAAUUGAUUCAAAACCUGAGACUUGACGGUGUUUUGUCUUCAGCAUAUCUUUGUUAUCCGUGGUUGAUCGUGGCUUAAAAAAAGUUUGCAUAAAAAGACCUAACUCUAUCGAGCAAAAUGAGAUCGUAGCCAUCAGGAAAAAAAAAAAAAAAAAAA